rnacentral:rRNA from 1 species
AACGGGUGAAUAACACGUGAGCAACCUGCCCCAGACUCUGGAAUAAGCGCUGGAAACGGCGUCUAAUACUGGAUACGAAACUGGCCCGCAUGGGCAUGGUUUGGAAAGUUUUUCGGUUUGGGAUGGGCUCGCGGCCUAUCAGCUUGUUGGUGAGGUAAUGGCUCACCAAGGCGACGACGGGUAGCCGGCCUGAGAGGGCGACCGGCCACACUGGGACUGAGACACGGCCCAGACUCCUACGGGAGGCAGCAGUGGGGAAUAUUGCACAAUGGGCGAAAGCCUGAUGCAGCGACGCCGCGUGAGGGAUGACGGCCUUCGGGUUGUAAACCUCUUUCAGCAGGGAAGAAGCGAAAGUGACGGUACCUGCAGAAGAAGCACCGGCUAACUACGUGCCAGCAGCCGCGGUAAUACGUAGGGUGCGAGCGUUGUCCGGAAUUAUUGGGCGUAAAGAGCUUGUAGGCGGUUUGUCGCGUCUGCUGUGAAAAUCCGGGGCUCAACCCCGGACUUGCAGUGGGUACGGGCAGACUAGAGUGUGGUAGGGGAGACUGGAAUUCCUGGUGUAGCGGUGAAAUGCGCAGAUAUCAGGAGGAACACCGAUGGCGAAGGCAGGUCUCUGGGCCACUACUGACGCUGAGAAGCGAAAGCAUGGGGAGCGAACAGGAUUAGAUACCCUGGUAGUCCAUGCCGUAAACGUUGGGCGCUAGGUGUGGGACUCAUUCCACGAGUUCCGUGCCGCAGCUAACGCAUUAAGCGCCCCGCCUGGG